rnacentral:rRNA from 1 species
UGGGGAAUAUUGCACAAUGGGCGAAAGCCUGAUGCAGCAACGCCGCGUGAGUGAUGAAGGUCUUCGGAUUGUAAAGCUCUGUCUUUUGGGACGAUAAUGACGGUACCAAAGGAGGAAGCCACGGCUAACUACGUGCCAGCAGCCGCGGUAAUACGUAGGUGGCGAGCGUUGUCCGGAUUUACUGGGCGUAAAGGGUGCGUAGGCGGAUGUUUAAGUGAGAUGUGAAAUACCCGGGCUUAACUUGGGUGCUGCAUUUCAAACUGGAUAUCUAGAGUGCAGGAGAAGAGAAUGGAAUUCCUAGUGUAGCGGUGAAAUGCGUAGAGAUUAGGAAGAACACCAGUGGCGAAGGCGAUUCUCUGGACUGUAACUGACGCUGAGGCACGAAAGCGUGGGUAGCAAACAGGAUUAGAUACCCUGGUAGUCCACGCCGUAAACGAUGAGUACUAGGUGUAGGAGGUAUCGACCCCUUCUGUGCCGCAGUAAAACAC